rnacentral:rRNA from 1 species
UACGGAGGGUGCAAGCGUUAUCCGGAUUUAUUGGGUUUAAAGGGUCCGUAGGCGGACUGUUAAGUCAGCGGUGAAAUCCCACAGCUCAACUGUGGAACUGCCGUUGAUACUGACAGUCUUGAGUACAAGUGAGGUUGGCGGAAUGUGUGGUGUAGCGGUGAAAUGCGCAGAUAUCAGGAGGAACACCGAUGGCGAAGGCAGUUCUCUGGGCCGUAACUGACGCUGAGGAGCGAAAGCGUGGGGAGCGAACAGG